rnacentral:rRNA from 1 species
UAGGGAAUCUUCUACAAUGGGCGAAAGCCUGAUGGAGCAACGCCGCGUGUGUGAUGAAGGGUUUCGGCUCGUAAACACUGUUGUAAGAGAAGAAUGACAUUGAGAGUAACUGUUCAAUGUGUGACGGUAUCUUACCAGAAAGGAACGGCUAAAUACGUGCCAG